rnacentral:rRNA from 1 species
UGGCGACCGGCGCACGGGUGAGUAACACGUAUCCAACCUGCCGAUGACUCGGGGAUAGCCUUUCGAAAGAAAGAUUAAUACCCGAUGACAUAGUUCUUCCGCAUGGUAGAACUAUUAAAGAAUUUCGGUCAUCGAUGGGGAUGCGUUCCAUUAGCUUGUUGGCGGGGUAACGGCCCACCAAGGCAUCGAUGGAUAGGGGUUCUGAGAGGAAGGUCCCCCACAUUGGAACUGAGACACGGUCCAAACUCCUACGGAAGGCAGCAG